AGUGGCGUGGUCUAGUGGUAUGAUUUCCCCUUCACAAAGUUCUUGAUGGGCUUUUGGAGAUACGGGGAAGGUCCAGGGUUCGAUCCCCUGCGCUACUA